rnacentral:misc_RNA from 1 species
AACUUUUAACAAUGGAUCUCUUGGCUCUUGCAUCGAUGAAGAACGCAGCGAAAUGCGAUACGUAAUGUGAAUUGCAGAAUUCAGUGAAUCAUCGAAUCUUUGAACGCACCUUGCACCCUUUGGCAUUCCGAGGGGUAUGCUCGUUUGAGUGUCAUUGUACUCUCACACUCCCGAUGCUUUUGGAUUGGGAGUGGUGGACUUGGGUGUUGCUGCUUUACUGUGGCUCACCUCAAAUGGAGUAGUGCAACUCUUGGUUGGACAUAGUACGGCGUGAUAAGUGUCUUCGCCGGCGCCUCAUUAGAGGGUGGCCGAUCGGGAGCUCUGUGCUUUCAAACCGUCUUCGGACACUCUCUGACAACUUGACCUCAAAUCGAGUAGGACUACCCGCUGAACUUAAGCAUAUCAAUAAGCGGAGGCU